CCUACGGGAGGCAGCAGUGGGGAAUUUUGGACAAUGGGCGCAAGCCUGAUCCAGCAAUGCCGCGUGAGUGAAGAAGGCCUUCGGGUUGUAAAGCUCUUUUGUCAGGGAAGAAACGGUUCGGGUUAAUACCUUAGGCUAAUGACGGUACCUGAAGAAUAAGCACCGGCUAACUACGUGCCAGCAGCCGCGGCAAUACGUAGGGUGCAAGCGUUAAUCGGAAUUACUGGGCGUAAAGCGUGCGCAGGCGGUUGUGCAAGACAGAUGUGAAAUCCCCGGGCUCAACCUGGGAAUUGCAUUUGUGACUGUACGGCUAGAGUGUGUCAGAGGGGGGUAGAAUUCCACGUGUAGCAGUGAAAUGCGUAGAGAUGUGGAGGAAUACCGAUGGCGAAGGCAGCCCCCUGGGAUAACACUGACGCUCAUGCACGAAAGCGUGGGGAGCAAACAGGAUUAGAUACCCUGGUAGUCCACGCCCUAAACGAUGUCUACUAGUUNUCGGGUCUUUAAUUGACUUGGUAACGCAGCUACGCGUGAGUAGACCGCCGUCGGGAGGUACGGUCGCGAAGAAGUUAAACGUAACGAAGAAGUUAGUACGGCGUGAGACGUAGACCGAACGGACGACGACGAGGGAGGAGG
rnacentral:rRNA from 1 species